rnacentral:pre_miRNA from 1 species
AAGAGGAACAACCACGGUGGCAGAGGCAGCUCUGCAGCCCUGGAGUCAGCCCCCACAGUUACUACAGAGCUCUCCGUCUGCAGGGCCUGGAGGCUCUGGGGCGGG